CCUCCGAAGUUUCCCUCAGGAUAGCUGGCGCUCUCGCAGGCGUUUGUAACCCCCCACGCAGUUUUAUCCGGUAAAGCGAAUGAUUAGAGGUCUUGGGGCCGAAACGAUCUCAAC
ensembl:miRNA